GCUAUCGGGGUCCGAUUAAGCCAUGCGAGUCGAGAGGGUUCGGCCCUCGGCGUACUGCUCAGUAACACGUGGAUAACCUGCCCUAAGGAAGGGGAUAACCCCGGGAAACUGGGGAUAAUACCCUAUAGGUUACAGAUGCUGGAAUGCCCUGUAACCCAAAGCUCCGGCGCCUUAGGAUGGAUCUGCGGCCGAUUAGGUUGUUGUUGGAGUAACGGCCCAACAAGCCAGUAAUCGGUACGGGUUGUGGGAGCAAGAGCCCGGAGUUGGAUUCUGAGACACGAAUCCAGGCCCUACGGGGCGCAGCAGGCGCGAAAACUUUACAAUGCGGGCAACCGUGAUAAGGGAACCUCGAGUGCCUGUACAUGCAGGCUGUUCGGGUGUCUAAAACACACCUGAAGAAAGGGCCGGGCAAGACCGGUGCCAGCCGCCGCGGUAAUACCGGCGGCUCGAGUGGUGGCCACUUUUAUUGGGCUUAAAGCGUUCGUAGCUGGGUUGUUAAGUCUCUUGGGAAAUCUGACGGCUCAACCGUCAGGCGUCUAAGGGAUACUGGCAAUCUUGGAACCGGGAGAGGUGAGGGGUACUUCGGGGGUAGGAGUGAAAUCCUGUAAUCCUCGAGGGACCACCUGUGGCGAAGGCGCCUCACCAGAACGGCUUCGACAGUGAGGGACGAAAGCUGGGGGAGCAAACCGGAUU
rnacentral:rRNA from 1 species